GAUGAACGCUAGCGGAAGGCCUAAUACAUGCAAGGCGAGGGCCCAGCAAUGGGACCGUCGAACGGGUGCGUAACGCGUAUGCAACCUACCUACUACUGGGGAAUAGCCCAUGGAAACGUGGAUUAAUACCGCAUAAUACAGGGGGCCGGCAUCGGUCUAUUUGUUAAAGAUUUAUCGGUAGUAGAUGGGCAUGCGUCUGAUUAGUUAGUUGGGGGGGUAACGGCCCACCAAGACGAUGAUCAGUAGGGGAGCUGAGAGGUUGAUCCCCCACAUGGGCACUGAGAUACGGGUCCAACUCCUACGGGAGGCAGCAGUAGGGAAUAUUGGGCAAUGGAUGCAAGUCUGACCCAGCCAUUCCGCGUGCCGGAUGAAGGCCCUCUGGGUCGUAAACGGCUUUUGAAUGGGAAGAAUAGUCACCAUGCGUGGUGAAGUGACGGUACCAUUCGAAUAAGCACCGGCUAACUCCGUG
rnacentral:rRNA from 1 species